rnacentral:rRNA from 1 species
UACGGGGGGGGGUAAGCGUUGUUCGGAAUUACUGGGCGUAAAGGGCUCGUAGGUGGCCAACUAAGUCAGACGUGAAAUCCCUCGGCUUAACCGGGGAACUGCGUCUGAUACUGGAUGGCUUGAGUUUGGGAGAGGGACGCGGAAUUCCAGGUGUAGCGGUGAAAUGCGUAGAUAUCUGGAGGAACACCGGUGGCGAAGGCGGCGUCCUGGACCAACACUGACACUGAGGAGCGAAAGCCAGGGGAGCAAACGGG